rnacentral:rRNA from 1 species
AUACGGAGGAUGCAAGCGUUAUCCGGAUUUAUUGGGUUUAAAGGGUGCGUAGGCUGACGUGUAAGUCAGAGGUGAAAUCUCCGGGCUCAACCUGGGAACUGCCUUUGAUACUGCAUGUCUGGAGUUCGGAUGCCGUGGGAGGAAUGGGCAGUGUAGCGGUGAAAUGCAUAGAUAUUGCCCAGAACACCGAUUGCGAAGGCAUCUCACGUAUCCUACACUGACGCUGAGGCACGAAAGCGUGGGGAUCAAACAUGAUUAGAUGCCCUGGUAGUCCACGCAGUAAACGAUGAUAACUAACCGUCGGCGAUAGACAGUCGGUGGCCAAGCGAAAGCGAUAAGUUAUCCACCUGGGGAGUACGUUCGCAAGAAUGAAACUCAAAUGAAUUGGCGGGG